GUUGAAAUGAGGAGUGGGUGGGAGGGUCAUUCUGAUGCUGACCUCAAGCAAUAUGAGUCAGGUAAGGGGUGUCCCUUAUAUAGGGGAGUGAAUUAAUUUAAGCCCCUCCCACAAAUACAGGCCAAAUGGCCUUAAAACUUGUGUUCGGGGCAAAUAGCCGUAUAUGGAGUAAGGUUCCAGCAUAAGCGUAGGAUAGUAUAAAGGGAGCAAGUCGGUUGUGGUGUGCCGAGACCGACGAUACGGUAGGCCUGUAAAUAAAGAGGGCAAAAAUGAAUAAUCAAAGAUUUAAUACAGUCAACAAUAUAUACAAAUUAACCAGACAUUUCCUUAAAUGCAUUACGGUAUUUAAUUCCUUGAAGGAUUUUGAAGGUAGGAAUCUAGGACCGCAACUGGACACCAUUUGUUGCGAGUAGGAUAGUAUGUUAUCUCUACUGUUGGUGCGUGUUGACUCGUUUCGGAAUGUGGUAGAGCCAAUAGGUAAUGAUAUAUGUGUUUAUAUACGUGGGAUCGUUGAAGACAAUGAUCUGUCUGAGUGGUGGUUAUGGUAGUGGAUUCUCUGGCCUGAGAAAGGCAUAAAAGGCAGUGUGCAUGGUGGUAAUGGCCAACUUGGUAGUAUAAUUGAAUGGUUGUAGCACUAAUAGGUCCGAUAAGGAUGGAAAAGUUGGAUGGCUAUUGGUAAUAUCUGAGAGGAACGUGGGGGGAUGGAUUCCUGAAAACCUCAGAGUAUAUUCUUGUCUGGUAUGAUAGCAUGAAGUUAUGGUAGUUUUGGCCAUAGGUUAUCCUCUGUUGUUGAAUGCCUGUAAAAUAUAUAAUUAAUGGUGUGUGAGAUGGUUUUAGUUUAAGGUGGCAAAAAAUGAAGCAAAACCUAGGAGAAAUGUUAUGACACAGGUUGAGCUAUGUCGUGUUCCAAUGAGAUUCUUUAAAGCCAGGUGAAUAGCUGUGUUAUGCGUUCUACAAGUAUGGGAUGAAAGUGCUAGGUGGGAUAGUGCAU